GCGGGUGUAGUUCAAUGGUAGAACUUCAGCCUUCCAAGCUGACUAUGUGGGUUCGAUUCCCAUCACCCGCUCCA
rnacentral:tRNA from 4 species